rnacentral:rRNA from 1 species
AUAAAAUUUAUAUAUAAUAAAAUUAAUUUUAAUUUAUUUAAUAUUUAAUGGGGGUUAAAGUAUUAUUUAAAGAAAAAAUUUAAAAUUUUAUAGUGAAUUAGUAUUGAGAAAGAAUUUUGAAAUAUUUGAAAAUAAUUUUAAUAAAAAGUAAAUUUUAUUUAUUGUAUCUUGUGUAUCAGAGUUUAUUAAAAAUUUUUAAUUUAUUUUAAUUUCUCGAAUUUAAAAGAGUUAAUUAAUUAUUAAAGUUAUUGUAGCAAAAUUAUUUUAAAUAAUUAAUUUGAAAUGAAAUGUUAAUCGUUUUUAAAUAUAUCUAGUUUUUUUAGAAAAAAAUUUAAUUUUAAAAUUAUUUUUUAAUUAAAUUAAUUAAUUAAUUUAAUUAAAGGUGAUUUAUAUAUUUUAAGGGAUAAGCUUUAAAUUAAAUUUUUAUAAUUUAAUUUAAUAAAAAAAUUGAAAAUUUUAUAAUUUAUAUUGUUAAUAAAUUUUAUUUUAUUAUAAAUAAUUUCAUCAUAAAAAAAAUUUAUUAAAAUAUAUUUAAUUUUUUAUAAAAAUAUAAUUUUUAAUUUAAUUGUAUUAAUAAUAAUGAUAAAAUUAGUAUAUAUAAGAAUUUAUAAAUUAAUAAUUUGAAAUUAAUUUUAAAUUUAAUUUUUAAUUAAAAAAUUAAUUAAAAGGAAUUCGGCAAAAUUUUAUUUUCACUUGUUUAUCAAAAACAUGUCUUUUUGUUUUAUAUUUAAAGUCUAAUCUGCCCACUGAUUUAUAAAAAUUAAAGGGCUGCAGUAUUUUGACUGUACAAAGGUAGCAUAAUCAUUAGUCUCUUAAUUGGUGACUUGUAUGAAAGAUUGGAUGAGAAAUAUACUGUCUCUUAAUUAAUUUAUAGAAUUUAAUUUUUUAUUUAAAAAGUUAAAAUUUAUUAAAAAGACGAGAAGACCCUAUAGAGUUUAAUAGUUAAAUUAUUAAUUGAUUAUUUAUAUUAUGAUAAAUUUUUAUUAAUUUAAUUAUUUUGUUGGGGUGAUAGAAAAAUAAAUAUAACUUUUUUUAAAAUUUAACAUAAAUAAGUGAUUAUUUGAUCCAAUUUUAUUGAUUAUAAGAUUAAAUUACCUUAGGGAUAACAGCGUAAUUUUUUUUUUUAGUUCUUAUAAGAAAAAAAGUUUGCGACCUCGAUGUUGGAUUAAGAUAAAAUUUAAAUGCAAAAGUUUAAAUUUUUGAUCUGUUCGAUCAUUAAAAUCUUACAUGAUCUGAGUUCAAACCGGUGUGAGCCAGGUUGGUUUCUAUCUUUUAAAAAAUUAAAUAUUCUAGUACGAAAGGAUUGAGUAUUUUAAUUAAAUUAUUUAUUAUGAAUUUUAAUAAUUAUAUAAUAAAAAUAUAU